rnacentral:rRNA from 1 species
AACGAACGCUGGCGGCAGGCUUAACACAUGCAAGUCGAACGCCCCGCAAGGGGAGUGGCAGACGGGUGAGUAACGCGUGGGAACAUACCCUUUUCUACGGAAUAGCUCUGGGAAACUGGAAUUAAUACCGUAUACGCCCUACGGGGGAAAGAUUUAUCGGGGAAGGAUUGGCCCGCGUUGGAUUAGCUAGUUGGUGGGGAAAGGCCUACCAAGGCGACGAUCCAUAGCUGGUCUGAGAGGAUGAUCAGCCACAUUGGGACUGAGACACGGCCCAAACUCCUACGGGAGGCAGCAGUGGGGAAUAUUGGACAAUGGGCGCAAGCCUGAUCCAGCCAUGCCGCGUGAGUGAUGAAGGCCUUAGGGUUGUAAAGCUCUUUCACCGAUGAAGAUAAUGACGGUAGUCGGAGAAGAAGCCCCGGCUAACUUCGU